AACGAACGCUGGCGGCAGGCCUAACACAUGCAAGUCGAGCGCUCUCUUCGGAGGGAGCGGCGGACGGGUUAGUAACGCGUGGGAAUGUGCCCAGAUCUAAGGAAUAGCCACUGGAAACGGUGAGUAAUACCUUAUACGCCCUUCGGGGGAAAGAUUUAUCGGAUUUGGAUCGGCCCGCGUUAGAUUAGAUAGUUGGUGGGGUAACGGCCUACCAAGUCUACGAUCUAUAGCUGGUUUUAGAGGAUGAUCAGCAACACUGGGACUGAGACACGGCCCAGACUCCUACGGGAGGCAGCAGUGGGGAAUCUUGGACAAUGGGGGCAACCCUGAUCCAGCCAUGCCGCGUGAGUGAUGAAGGCCUUAGGGUCGUAAAGCUCUUUCGCCAGGGAUGAUAAUGACAGUACCUGGUAAAGAAACC
rnacentral:rRNA from 1 species